GACGAACGCUGGCGGCGUGCUUAACACAUGCAAGUCGAACGGAAAGGCCCUGCUUUUGUGGGGUGCUCGAGUGGCGAACGGGUGAGUAACACGUGAGUAACCUGCCCUUGACUUUGGGAUAACUUCAGGAAACUGGGGCUAAUACCGGAUAGGAGCUCCUGCUGCAUGGUGGGGGUUGGAAAGUUUCGGCGGUUGGGGAUGGACUCGCGGCUUAUCAGCUUGUUGGUGGGGUAGUGGCUUACCAAGGCUUUGACGGGUAGCCGGCCUGAGAGGGUGACCGGCCACAUUGGGACUGAGAUACGGCCCAGACGCCUACGGGUGGCAGCAGUGGGGAAUAUUGCACAAUGGGCGGAAGCCUGAUGCAGCAACGCCGCGUGCGGGAUGACGGCCUUCGGGUUGUAAACCGCUUUCGCCUGUGACGAAGCGUGAGUGACGGUAAUGGGUAAAGAAGCACCGGCUAACUACGUG
rnacentral:rRNA from 1 species